rnacentral:tRNA from 1 species
GUCCCCGUCGUCUAGCCGGCCCAGGACACCGCCUUCUCAAGGCGACAACACAAGUUCAAAUCUUGUCGGGGACGCCA